GAUGAACGCUGGCGGCGUGCCUAAUACAUGCAAGUCGAGCGAACGGACGAGAAGCUUGCUUCUCUGAUGUUAGCGGCGGACGGGUGAGUAACACGUGGAUAACCUACCUAUAAGACUGGGAUAACUUCGGGAAACCGGAGCUAAUACCGGAUAAUAUUUUGAACCGCAUGGUUCAAAAGUGAAAGACGGUCUUGCUGUCACUUAUAGAUGGAUCCGCGCUGCAUUAGCUAGUUGGUAAGGUAACGGCUUACCAAGGCAACGAUGCAUAGCCGACCUGAGAGGGGAACGGCCCCCGUUGAAACUGAGCCCGGUCCCAGACCCCAAGGGGGGGCAGCAGAAGGGAUUCUUCCGAAAGGGGGAAAGGCCGGACGGGGCACCGCCGGGUGAGUGAAAAGGUUUUUGGGACCGAAAACCUUUUUUUUUGGGGAAAAAAAUAUGUGUAAGAAAUGGUGCAAUUCUUGGCGGCCCUAAACAAAAAGCCCCGGGCAACCUACG
rnacentral:rRNA from 1 species